rnacentral:rRNA from 1 species
GACGAACGCUGGCGGCGUGCUUAACACAUGCAAGUCGAACGGAAAGGCCCUGCUUUUGUGGGGUGCUCGAGUGGCGAACGGGUGAGUAACACGUGAGUAACCUGCCCUUGACUUUGGGAUAACUUCAGGAAACUGGGGCUAAUACCGGAUAGGAGCUCCUGCUGCAUGGUGGGCGUUGGAUAGUUUCGGCGGUUGGGGAUGGACUCGCGGCUUAUCAGCUUGUUGGUGGGGUAGUGGCUUACCAAGGCUUUGACGGGUAGCCGGCCUGAGAGGGUGACCGGCCACAUUGGGACUGAGAGACGGCCCAGACUCCUACGGGAGGCAGCAGUGGGGAAUAUUGCACAAUGGGCGGAAGCCUGAGGCAGCAACGCCGCGUGCGGGAUGACGGCCUGCGGGUUGUAAACCGCUUUAGCCUGUGACGAAGCGGGAGUGACGGUAAUGGGUAAAGAAGCACCGGCUAACUACGUG